rnacentral:rRNA from 1 species
CCUACGGGAGGCAGCAGUGGGGAAUAUUGGACAAUGGGCGAAAGCCUGAUCCAGCAAUGCCGCGUGAGUGAUGAAGGCCUUAGGGUUGUAAAGCUCUUUUACCAGGGAUGAUAAUGACAGUACCUGGAGAAUAAGCUCCGGCUAACUCCGUGCCAGCAGCCGCGGUAAUACGGAGGGAGCUAGCGUUGUUCGGAAUUACUGGGCGUAAAGCGUACGUAGGCGGUUAUUCAAGUCAGAGGUGAAAGCCUGGAGCUCAACUCCAGAACUGCCUUUGAAACUAGAUAGCUAGAAUCUUGGAGAGGUGAGUGGAAUUCCGAGUGUAGAGGUGAAAUUCGUAGAUAUUCGGAAGAACACCAGUGGCGAAGGCGACUCACUGGACAAGUAUUGACGCUGAGGUACGAAAGCGUGGGGAGCAAACAGGAUUAGAUACCCUGGUAGUCCACGCCGUAAACGAUGAUAACUAGCUGUUCGGGCUCUACGAGCUUGAGUGGCGCAGCUAACGCAUUAAGUUAUCCGCCUGGGGAGUACGGUCGCAAGAUUAAAACGUCAAAUGAAUUGACGG